rnacentral:lncRNA from 1 species
UGCUACUCCUGAGUAAGCCUUGCUGCCCCACCAGGUGGUUCAAGGUGAGAGCUAGAGGGAGGGCCGUCUCGGACCUGGUCAAAGAAAAAGGUAAUUGAGUCUUGUGUGUUCAUUUUGAUCUCACUAGUUAACUUCUAUGCUACAAACCUCUUGUAUGAAACCAGCAUGCUGGUCGCGUGGUGGAAAUAACCAUGUACUGAAAUAGCAACAAAACAUUUUGGUCAGAUUUCUUUGAUCUGGGCAGGAUUCAUCCUUUACCUAUCCCCAUUAGGCUCCCCAAGUUUGGAUCUUCUAGGUUAAUUGGUUUGCUGUUAGGAGAAGUUUGAAUUUUCAUGUUUCACUUUAUUUUGCCCUCCAGGAAUUAAUGUAAAUUGAGUUGGAAAUCAAACAGUGUUUGCACUAGCUGCUUGAAACUUCACUCACUCAAUCAGUUCUCAAUGCACAUUCUCUGGUUUGUUCCUUGUUGAAGUAACCCUAUACUGUAUUAUCUGUGAGUGCUUUAGGAGAACACAGGCAAAUACACAUGUACUGAAAUAGCUGCAAAAUUUUUUGUUCAGAUUUCUUUGAUACUGGGCAGAAUUCAUCCUUGACCUAACCCCAGUAGGCUCCCCAAGUUUGGGUCUUCUAGGUUCAAUGGUUUGCUAACAGGCUGGGGUUAGGUUAGGGUUAGUGUUAGUGUUAGGGUUAGAGAUAGUGUUAGGGUUAGUGUUAAGUUUGGUUGAAUUUCAUUGAUAUUGCCAGGAUUCAUACUUUACCUAACCCCACUAGUCUCCCCAAGUUUGGAACUUCUAGGUUAAAUGGUUUGCUGUCAGGUACAAUUUGAAUUUUCAUGUUUCACUACAUUUUGCCCUAUGGGGAUGAACAGAAAGGGAGGUGGAAGUCAAGCAGGGUUGGUGCUAGCUGCUUGAAACUUCACUCACUCAAUCAGUUCUGUGUUCACUCUCUGGUUUGUUACUUGUUGAAAUAUCCCUAAGCUGAAGUAGAAAGAAACAGCUUUAUCUGUAAGUACUUUAGGAGAACACAGGCAAAUAACCAUGUACUGUAAUAGCUGCAAGGUUUUUUGGACAGAUUUUUUUCAUACAUGGCAGGAUUCAUCCUUUACCUAACCCCACUAGUCUCCCUAAGUUUGGGUCUUCCAAGUUCAAUGGUUUGCUAACAGGUUAGGGUUACAUUUAGGGUUAGGGUUAGCAUUAGGGUUAGUGUUAGUAUUAAGGUUAAGUUUUGUAGGAUUUCAUUGAAUCUGGGCAGGAUUAAUUUUUUACCUAUCUCCGCAGUCUUCCCAAGUUUGGACUUCUAGGUUCAAUGGUUCACUGUCAGGAACACUUUGAAUUUUCAUGUUUCACUUCAUUUUGCCCUAUAUGGAUGAAUGGAAUGGGAUGUAGAAAUCAAACAGGGUUGGUGCUAGCUGCUUGAAACUUCACUCACUGAAUCAUUUCUCAGUGCACACUCACUGAUUUGUGCUUCGUUGAAGUAGCCCUAAGCUCAAGCAGGCAGGAAAAACUUUAUCUGGGAACAAAAGAAAAUACUCAUGGACUAAAAUAGCUCCAAAAUUGUUUUGGUCGAAUUCUCUUUAUACUGGACAAGAUUCAUCCUUUACCUAAUGUGACUAGGCUUCCUAAGUUUGGGUCUUCUAGGUUCAAUUGUUCAUUAACAGGAAUAGGUUAGGUUUAGGUUUAGGGUAAAGGUUAGGGUUAGCGUUACGGUUAGGAUUAGGUUUGGUGGGAUAUCUUUGAUACUGGGCUAGAUUUAUUCUUUCACUAACACCAUUUGGAUCCCAAGUUUGGUUCCCCAGGAUCAAUGAUUCACAAGCAGGAAGUGUUUGGAUUUUCAGGUUUCAUUUCUUUUUGCCUUGUAGUGUUAUAUGGAAAUGGAGCUUCAAGUCAAACACCAUUUGUGCUAGCUCCUUGAAAGUAUACACACUCAGUAAGUUCUCAGUGCUCAAUCUCUGAUUUGCUCCUGUUUAAAAUAUCCCUAAGCAGAAGCACUCAGGCAUAGCUGUACCUGUGAAUGCUUUAGGAGCUCACCAUAGAAUAUCCAUGCACUGUAACAGCUGCAAAAAUUUUUUCAUUGGAUUUAUUUGAUACUGGGCAGGAUUUAUCUUUUCACUAUCCCCACUUGGCUUCCCAAGUUUGGUUGUCCUAGGUUCGAGCCUUCUCAGGCAGGAACAAUUUGAAAUUUCAGGUUUCACUUUGUUUUGCCCUGUAGUGAUGAAUGGAAAUGGAGCUUCAAAUCUAACACCAUUUGUCCUAGCUCCUUAAAACUUCACACACUCAAUUAGUACUCAGAAUGCUCUUUAUAGUUUCAUUCUGGUUGAAGUAGACCUAAGCAGAAACACACAAGAAGAACUCUCCCUGGAGUACUUGAGGAGCUACAAAAAGCAUACCCAUGUACUGAAACAGCUGCAAAAUUUUUUUCAUUGGAUUUCUUUGAUACUGGGCAAGAUUUAUCCUUUCACUACUGCCACUUGGCUCUCCAAUUUUGGUUCUCCUGGGUUCAACCGUGUGAAUGCAGGAACAAUUUUAAUUUGCAGGUUUCACUAUGAUUUGCCCUGUAGUGAUGAAUGGAAAUGGAGCUACAAAUCAAACACCAUUUUUUCUAGCUGCUUGAAACAUCACACACUUAAUCAGGUAUCAGUGUGCACUCUAUGGUUUGUUCCUGGUGAAGUAGCCCUAAGCAGAAUCAUGCAGGAACUACUUUCCCAAAGAGUACUUUAGGAGCUAGCAGGAGAAUAUCCAUGUACUGAAAUUUCUCCAAAAAUUUUUUUCAUUGUAUUUCUUUGAUAGUCAGCAGGAUUCAUACUUUCACUAACCUUUGGAUCCCAAGUAUGGUUCUCCUAGGAUCAAUGGUUUGCAAGAAAAAAUAGUUUGAAUUUUCAGGUUUCAUUUUGUUUUGCUCUGUAGUGAUGAAUGGAAAUGGAGUUGCAAAUCAAACACCGUUUGUGCAACUUGCUUGAAACUUCACACACUCAAUCAGUUCUCAGUGAACAUUCUUUGUUUUUUUUUCUAGUUAAAGUAGCCCUAAGCAGAAGCACUCAGAAACAGCUUUCACUGGGAGCAUUUUAGGAGCUACCAGGAGAAUACCCAUGCACUGAAAUAGCUGCCAAAAUUUUUUUGUCUGACUUCUUAGAUACUGGGCAGAAUUCAUCCUUUCAGUAACUUCUUUGAUACUGGGCAAGAUUCAUCAUUUGUCCUAGCUCCUUAAAACUAUGCUGCAAGUUUGGUUCUCCUAGGUCAUAGGCAGGAUCAAUUUGAAUUUUCAGGUUUCACUUCAUUUUGCCCUAUAGUGAUGAAUGGAAAUGGAGCUACAAAUCAAACAGAAUUUGUGCUAACUGCUUGAAACUUCACACAUUCCAUCAGUUCUCAGUGCACACUCUGGUUUGUUCCUGAUUGAAGUAGCCCUAAUCAGAAGCAUACAGGAAUAGCUUGUUCUGGGAGCUCUUUAGGAGGUAGCAGAAGAAUAUCCAUGUACUGAAAUAGCUGGAAAAAUCUUUUCAUUGUAUUGGUAUGGUACUGGGCAGGAUUCUUUUUUUCACAACCCUCAGUUGGCUUCCCAUGUUUGGUUCUCCUUGGUUCAACUGUUUUCGGGUAGGAAUGCUUUGAAUUUUCAGGUUUCACUUAAUUUUGCCCUAUAGAGAUGAAUGCAAUUGGAACUGGAAAUCCAACACGGUUUGUGCUAGAUGCUUGAAACUUCACACAGUUAGUUCUCAGUGCGCACUCCCUGCUUUGUUCCCUGUUGAAGUAGCCCUAAGCAGAACCAUUUCCCUGUGAGAGCAAGAACACCUUCAUUCAGGAGUACUUGAACAGCUUUCAGGAAAUUCUGAAUUUAGUGGAAUCUCUGCCCAAAUUCUUCUUGUGGAUUUCCUAGAUACUGGGCAGAAUGGAUCCUUUCACCAGUUCCAUUGUACCACCAAAAUUUGGACCACCUAGUUUCAAAGGGUCACUGGCAGGAAUGCUUUGAAUUUUCAGGAUUUAUUUUGUUUUCCUCUAUAAGGAUGAAUGCAAUUGGAUCUGGAAAUCCAAUUCAGUUUGUGCUAGCUGCUUGAAACUACACAUCCUCAGUUAGUUCUCAGUGUUCACUUCCUGUACUGUUGCCUAUUGAAGUAGUCCUAAGCAGAAGCAUGUGGAAGAACACCAUCUUUUGGGAACGUUUGUGCAGCUUGCAAGAAAGUCCAAAUUUACUGAAAUCUCUGCCCAAAUUUUUCCUGCCAAUUUCAUUGAUAAUGGGCUGGAUGAAUCAAUUCACCAGUUUCACCUUGUCCCCCACAUUUGAUCCUCCUAGAUUCAAGAAUGUGAUGGCACAAACGCUUUGAAUUUUCCCGUUUCACUUCAUUUUGCCCUAAGGGGAUGAAUGCAAUAAAAAGUGUGAAUCCAACAUGGUUUUUCUAGCAGCAUAAAACUUCACAUACUCCAUUAGUUGCAGUGUGCACUCCCUGCUCUGUUCCCUGUUGAGGUAGCCCUAGGCAGAAGCAUUUCCCAGAGCCUAGAGAAACACCUUUCUGGGGGAGCAUUUGAGCAGCUUGCAGGAAAGUCUGGAUUUAUUGGAGAUUUUGCCCAAAUUUUUCCUGCAAAUUUUGUUUAUUCUUGGCAGGAUGGAUUAUUUCAUGAGUCCCACCUUGCCUCCCAAAUUUGGCAUCCUAGGUUCAGGGGUGCACUGCCAGGAAUGCUUUGAAUUUUCAGGUUUCACUUUGUUUUGCCCUAUAGGGAUGAAUGCUAUUGGAACUGGAAAUCUAACAUGGUUUGUAUUAGCUGCUUGAAACUUCACAUGCUCAAUUAUUUCUCCAUAUGUGCACAAUAGUUUGUUUCUAGUUGAAGUAGCCAGAACACAGAAACACAUUUUCCUGUAAGUGCUUUUGGAGAUAGCUAGAAUAUAACUUUACUGAAACAGCUCCAAAAAAUUUUUCAUUGGAUAUUUUAUGUACUAGGCAGGAUUGAUCCUUUCACCAGAACCACUUGGCUUUUCAAGUUUGGUUUUCUUAGGUUCAAUGAUUUGCUGACAGGAACAGGUUGAAUUUUCAGGUUUCACUUUGUUUUACACUGUAGGGUUGAAUGGAAAUGGACCUAAAAUCCAAACACGGUUUGUGCUAGGUGCUUCACAUUUCACACAUUCAGUUAGUUAUCAGUGGGGGCACAGAGGUUUGUUUCUAGUUGAAGUUUCCCUAAAAAAAAAAAAAGAUGCAGGAAGAUGUUAUACUUUGAAUGCUUUAGAAGCUAGCAGGAGAGCAGCUAUUUACUGAAAGUGUUCAAAUCUUUCUUUUUGUCAAAUUUCUUUGAUAUUGGGCAGGAUUGGUCAUUUCACCAUCCCCAAUUGGCUCCCCAAGUUUGUUUUUCCUAGAUUGAAUGGUUCCAUGUCAGUAACAGUUUGAAUUUUCAUGUUUCUCUUCAUUUUGCCCUGGAGAGUUAAAUGGAAUUGGACCUGUAAAUCAAAUACAGUUUGUGAUAGCUGCUUGAAACUUCACACACUCAGUUAGUUCUCAGUGUGAACUCCCUACUUUGUUCCCUGUUGAAGUACCCCUAAGCAGAAGCAUUUCCAAGAGCAAGCAGAAACACCUUCAUUUGGGAGAAUUUGAACAGCUUGCAGGUAAGUCCAAAUUUACUGUAAUCUCUAUCCAAAUUUUUCCAGCAGAUUUUGUUGAUACUGGGAGGAAUGGAUCCUUUCACCAGUUUUAUCAUGCUCCCCAAGUUUGGUCCUCCUAGAUUCAAGGGUUCGCUUGCAGGAAUGCUUUGAAUUUUCAGGUUUCACUUUGCUUUACCUUAUAGGAAUGAAUGCAAUUGGAACUGGAAAUCCAACACAGUUUGUGCUAGCUGCUUGAAACUACACAUAUUCAGUUAGUUUUCAGUGUGCACUCCCUGCUAUGUUCCCUGUUUAAGUAGCCCUAAGCAAUCAUAUUUCCGAGAGCAUGGAGGAAUACCUUCUUUGGGGAGAGUUUGAGCAGCUUGCAAGGAAGUCUGAAUUUACUGGAAUCUCUGCCUAAAUUUUUCCUGCCAACUUCAUUUAUACUGGGAUGGAUGAAUCCUUUAACCAGUUUCACCUUGUCCCCCAAAUUUGGUUCUCCUAGGUUCAAGAAUGCAAUGGCAUGAACACUUUGAGUUUUCCCAUUUCACUUCAUUUUGCCCUAAGGGGAUGAAUUCAAUUAGAAGUGGAAAUCCAACAUGGUUUGUGCUAGUAUCAUGAAACUUCACAUAUUCAGUUCUCAGUGUGCACUACCUGCUCUGUUUCCUGUUGAAGUAGCCCUAAGAGAAGUAUUUCCCAGCACAAAGAGGAACACCUUCUUUUGGGAGCGAUUGAGCAGCUUAUAGGAGUGUCCGAAUUUACUAGAAUCUCUGCCCAAAUUUUACCUGCAGAUUUCAUUGAUACUGAGCAGUAUGGAUCCCUUCACCAUUCCCACUUUGCCCUCCAAAUUUGGUUCUCCUAAGUUUAAGGGUUCACCUGCAGGAAUGCUUUGAAUUUUCAGGUUUCACUUCAUUUUGCCCUAUAGGGAUGAAUGCAAUUGGAACUGGAAAUACAACACAGUUUGUGCUAGGUGCUUAAAACUUCACACAAUCAGUUAGUUCUCAGAGUGAACUUUCUGCUUUGUUCCCUGUUGUAGUAGCCCUAAGCAGAAGCAUUUCCCAGUGAGAACAGGAACACCUUCACUCUGAAGCAUUUGAACAGCUUUCAGGAAAUUCUGAAUUUAGUAGAAUCUCUGCCCAAAUUCUUCCUGAAGAUUUCCUAGAUACUGGGCAAAAUGGAUCUUUCACCAGCUCCAUCUUGCCACCAAAAUUUGGUCCUCCUACAUUCAAGGGUUCAAGGGUUAGGUGGCAUUUUCCAAUGGACAGGUAAGAUGUCUCUGAAAUUUGUGGCUUUUGCCAAAAUGAUUUUUGGUUUGCAGAGUACGGAUCAAGAAUUUAUGGGCUCCUCUACCAAUCUGAGGAUGAAGUUUGUGUUCUUUGGGUGGAGCAAGCCUUAUCUUGCCCAGAUACUAGGUGGGAUAUAUAGCUGUCAGCAAGAUCCAGAAGGCUGCAAGUGUAGAUAAUAUAGGCAAAGUUCCAUGUAUGAUUUUUCUUGGAGAAAGUGGCAUAAAUAAGAGAUGGAAAGAACAUGUAAUAGAGCUGGAACCAAGGGACAAGAGAACUGAGGCACUGGCAGGGGAACAUGAGAGUGAAGCAAGCCCCUUCCAUGUAGUGUACAGGGGAAGAGAAAGGGGGAGGCUGGCUGUCCAUUCACCAGGAUGCUUGGAUUUAGUCUCCCUAGGAUUGGGACUGAAAACUGGAGGGGUCUAUCAACCAGACCAUUUUAAUAAAUAGCAAAAUGGAAACAUAAGUUUAUCUGUUUGCCCAUCCCCAUUUAUCAUUCCCCUGAUAAAAUGCUUUAUUGGAUAUUUUAAAGUGUUUUGCCUUUUAAAAAUGAAGUAUAUACAGCAUUUUAAUUUUAAUGUAUUUAUUUACAAAACUAUAAUGUUACACACACCAUAGAAAGAUGUAUAAGAAAUACUACCCAUAAAACAUCAACUUCAGGGCUACAGUUUGUUUGAUUAACACUUAAUAUCUAUCAGUGUACAUCUAUGUAUGUAUAUAUUUUCAAUGAGAAAUCUUUCAAGGAAUCUCUGGUAAAAAUGACUGGGUGUUUGUUUUUAUAAAAGUUCUUUUUUAUUGGCUUAAAUAAGUGUUCCAUUCCACUCCACCAUAGAUUUUUUGUAUUAGCCAUAUGCCUUUCACUCAUUUUACAUCCUCUAGCUUUCAAGUGUUUAUUCAUUGUCAUUUUGAUCAAUGAAUCAUCUUCAUAACAUUUGUUGAAAAGCCCUGGGUUUUCUGAAAGUGCUUCAUUAAGCUUUAAUCUCUUACUCUGAUAAAGAAUGGCAUUCACUGGCAGCUUUCACACUUUCUAAGAUACCAAAAUCAUCUUGAUUUUUACAUUUUUUCCAAAUUCAAGCAGACUACAGGAAACACUUCCCCAAGCUUCCUAUGAAAAAUUGGUGAUUUCAAUUGUUACAGUCCACAUCAUUUCCUAUAGUUUUCUAGGAAAUAUGACAAUCCCCAUCAUCCCAAUACAAUUUCCUGAUCUUAUUCAUUCACAUUUCUCUGAAAUGUUAGGCAAGGAGGGCAAACCCUUAUCCCCAAAGGGCCAUGGACAGUGUGCAGAUGGCACCCAGCCUGAGCAGUGUGCUGACAACAGUCCUGAAACUCCUGGUUUUGUCUGUAGGGUAUUAUCAGAGUACCCAGGGUUACCUGAAGCACCUGAGCCCUGGUUUCCUGUUCUUGAAUAAGAAGACUCAUUAUUCCCAAAGUGCAAAUUUUAUGUUGAUCAAUUUUUCAUAAACCAAAUAAAGAUACUUUUAAUAUUUUUAAUUUCCACAUGCUGUCUUUUACUAUUGUGACCAAACUAAGAAAAUGUAUGCAAUCAGCAAAGAUAUGCUCUUCUAGUUAUCAAUGUAUGCUCUUGAUUUUUACAAAUUAAUUAUUUAUUAAUAACCAUAUAGGUGGAACAAAAAACACCCAAUUAUCAGUAAAAAUUUAGAAGUGAAGGCCUGCUGACAUUUCAUAUUUGUAGGAGUAGAAGAAUCAUUCAUGAAUAAAAUAGCUUUUAAUUGGUUGGAGAAAAUUAGCUGCAUUUUGUUGUUGCUAUUUCCUACUGGAGAUUAAAACCAGGGAUUCUUUACAACUAAACUAUAUCCCCAGUCUUUUUAUUUGUUAUUUUGACAAAGAUCUUGUUGAGUGGCCUAAUCUGAUCCAGAACUUGCCGUUCUGCUUGUUGAGCAUUGCAGUAUCUGGGAUCACAAGUACAUGCCACCAUGCUCAUAAACUAGUUAUAUUUUGAUGUCACAAACAUAAAGUGCAUGACAAAACAUUUAAUUUUUUCAAUAAUACAAAAUGACAAAAAAAUUAGAAGCAAAUAUAAAUGCCUACUUAUACAUAUUAUGUUGGCAAAGACUUUGCUAAAAAUGACCUGAAAAGCAAGUUGGCCACUGUUUUUCUCUUCUUUGAGGGUUUUAGAUAUUAAAACCCAGGACCUGGCAUCUAAACCAAAACUCUACCUUAGAGUCAUACCCUCAGCCCAAGAGCAAGCAUUUUUAAUUUCAGUUUAUCAAAAUAAAAAUCAACCCUCCAACACCUGCACCACCUACACUGAGUCCGAAAUACCUGCACUGCCUGUUCAGAGAGGAACACCAUGCUGAUGUUCCCUAUCCAUCAACAUGCAGUUCCACCCAAACUGCCUCAAUCUUGGGACAUUUGAGCCACUGCCAUAGCCCUCCCCACACUGUAAUCUCUACCAAGGGAAAAUGGAUAGGACCAGGAGGAAGCAUGAUACACCACACUGUGCAUCACUGAACAGGCCACCCAUUGACAUAGCACAGUCCAUCCUUCCAGCCUCAUCUCUAAAAAUGGUUGCCUCCAUCUUGGGACAUCUCUGCCACAUCUUGGGUUACCUCUGCUACCAUCUAUGCAAUAUUUAGUUGAGGGAGCUUCCACCUUGAGAUACCAACUGGGGUCUGGAAGCCUAACAUCAAGGUAACUAUAGAUUUGACACUACUGCUACCACCAACUAAGGACAUGGCCGGUUCCAUUUAAGGACAACAACCAGGACUUGGAAGACCAUCACCAAGGUCCCUGUGGGCCAGGUUUGCACCAGAGGUAUCCCUACUAGGUUUGUUGACAGACCCCACCCUGUUGCAUAGGCAACAGGGAGUCUUGCAUAGAGUCACCUUUCUCUCUUUUUUUCUUCUACUAACAGCCAACUUCUUUUAAUUCCUCUUUCACUCAUCCUAUAAUAUAAUUCCUCUGUAUUCUCAUAUCUUGCCUCAUAAACAUCACAACAUACCCCCAACCCCAUUCUCUCUCUAUCCACCAUUAGAAACUAUAAAUCCUUAUGCAAACCUACUGGCUAUGUGGUAGAAGAAAACAAACUCAUUGUUUCUGUUUAUAGCAAAAAAAAAACUGUAAAUAUCUAAAUAGAAGCUAAUUGAUUUAUGGCUGCAUAUUUGUUCCAUUUGGUGCUAAAAACAUUGAUUUCACCUUUAAAGAUGAAGUAUUGGUAACCUGAAGGGAAACUAUAAGAUUAUAGAGUUGAAACUUCAAUAUCUCAGAGCCAUACUGCAAAAGAGGAAGACACAUGGACAACAUAAAAAAAAACAAGGAAGAAAAGUGCCCCAAACAAACCAAGAUACUACAAUAAUAGAAUCUACUGACAGUGCAGUAGAUGUAAUGUCAGAGAAGAAGUUUAGAAUGUACAUAAUUAAAAUGAUCUACAAAUUAAAAAUGACAUAAGAGAGCAAAUACAGGGAAAAAUUGAUCACUCCCACAAAAUGAUAAGAGAGCAAAGACAGGCAACCAUUGAUCACACCAACAGAGAGAUAAGAGAGGAAAUACAGAUAGGAAAAGAUUAUUUCAAGAAAGAAUAAAAAUUUUGAAAAAAAAAACCCAGAAGUCCUUGAAAUAAAGGAAACAAGAAACCAAAUAAAACACUCAAUAUAAAGCAUGACCAACAGACUAGAUCACUUGGAAAACAGAACCUUAGAUAAUGAAGACAAAAUACACAAUCUUGAAAAUAAAGUUGAUCACACAUUAAAGAUAGCAAUAAACCGUGAACAGAACAUACAAGAAUUAUGGGAUAACAUCAAAAUAUCUAAGAUUUAUCAAGAUAGAGGAAGGUGCAGAGAUUCAAAACAAAGGAAUGUA